rnacentral:lncRNA from 1 species
AUUAUCUCAUUUUAUAUUUACAACAACCCUGGGAGCUUGUUACUAUUAUUACCACCAUUAUAAAUGGAAUUGAAAGUAGACAGAACAAUAGUUGCAAAGAGGAGACUAUUAUGUAUAAUGUUGAGGAGUAAAAGAUGAAAAUAAGUUCUUAUAAUUAAGAAUCAGUGAAAUGGGCAUCAAAUGUUCAGUAAAUUUUAUUUCCUCUUCCGGUCAAGAUGGGGCCUUAGAAGCAGUGAAAGUUCAGACCUCAGAAAACCCUUCCUUACCCAUCAGAAACUGAAUGCUCCUAGGACACUGAAAUUCAAACUGAACAACAGGACAGACCCAGGGAACCCUCCUCCUGGACCUGGAUCAAAAGUUUCCUCAACUCAUUUCCUACAAUGAUGAAUGAUGUCUAUCUCUGGGGGUAUUCCUUUCCUACCAUAGUUCCUACCAGGCCUGAUGAUUUCACCAAAUAAGAAAGAAGAAAAGGAGAAGAACAAGAAAAGAACCCUUGUAUAUCCACCAUUAUGGGGCCAUGAUAUGAAGCAAGAGCCAAUAAAGGUGAUUAGGAAGUAGUAGUCA